GGAGAAGUCGCCUAGUUGGUCGAGGGCGCACGACUGGAAAUCGUGUAAGUCGCAAAACGGCUUCGAGGGUUCGAAUCCCUCCUUCUCCGCCA
rnacentral:tRNA from 1 species